UGAAGAAACCAAGCAAAAUCCUGAAACCAGCUAAUGUAUAGAGAUGUCCAGCAUGGGGAAGGAUGAUCUUGUCCAUGCAAGGAUGAGAAUCAUGUCAACCGGCAACCAUGGCUGCGAUGCACUAACCCUGCAAAGGAGGCAAAUUGAAAGCAGCUCCGGUUAGUAUCACGGCAUGCAAUUAUAGUCAUUUAGUUAUAUGUCUAGAAGAUUGUUGUUACUGGCAAAUAAAUCACAUUUUUUUUAAACAAGGCAAAAGACUUGCCAUUUUCAUACGAAGCAGAGAGUUGGAACAAAAUAGCAAAGUACUUGCUCAACAGAAUGUAGCUGGAACUGACUAAUUUUGGGCGGCCAAACCUAAAGAUUGACGAAAUUCAGAGAUACUACAACUAACUUCAGCUAUGACGAAACUACAUAAAAAAGAUUGCAUCAAAAAAAGAUUGCAUCAACUUCAGCUAUAACUUCAGCUAUUACUGAGUACAGAUGCAAAAGGAAAUGGUAUAGCUAAUAAAGAAGAUUGCAUCAAGCAAAACGGCAACUACAUAAAAGGUUUCAAAUAUGUUAAUUCCAUCCACCAUUGAGCUUCAGUUUUAUAAAAAUACAAGGGAAUGUCCAGACAAAUUCAGCAGUAAUAUAUCACAUUUUUUCUCAACACGCAUUGAAAGCAUGCCAUUAUGUUUUAAUAUGAAAUAGUAGCAUAUUUAGGUGAUAACAAGGAUACAUGUACAGCCAAACCUUAUAAUUGGCAUGUAUAGGCCACAUUGCAGCAACCUAGACAAUUUGCACAACAUGAAAAUAUACUAACAGCUUAACUCAUAUUCUUGCUACAUCAAAGAGCAUACAAAUCAAGCAUGCAGAACAUGUACUUACCAGAGCUGAGAUAAACAUUGCAUUUCACAGAAGAAUACCCCCUGAAGAUGUCAUAUAUUUCCGUGCAUCUAUCAUUACUUGACGAGACCUCACCUGGCAGCCUCACAAUCAUCCUUUUAAGCAUUGGUGCACAGCUGAAUAUUAGUUUCAAGAAAUCAAGCUCAUGAGCAUCUCCUCUGAAGCCAUGUAUUUCUACUUCUUCAAGAGCAGUCAAGGAGAUAAUUUGUCUCCUCCAGUUCGUACACUCACAAGGACAAUUUGCAGGGCAGGUUUCUUCCUCCUAAAACCAAAUAUGCGAAUUGCUAUGAAAUGUCACUGUUGAGAUAUAUAAGCAGAGCGGAGCAUUACCUCUAAUCUCAGAAGGGCGACCUUAAGCCUCCGUAUGGCGCUACGAAUCCGAUUCAACCCAAGAAGAUGCGACACAAAUGCUCCAGAAACAUGGCCCAUUGCUGACAAAUGCAGCUCCAAAGCAGAGAAGUCGACAAUCAUAUGCUUCUCUAUCUCCUGUGCGAAGUUGGUCUCUUCAUCGGAAAAGGUAAACCAGCUCUGAAAAGCAAAUUGGCAGAUUUGUAUCAUUCAUAAAAUUUAGCUCAGCGGUCAAUUCCAGUAAAUUGACUAGAAGAGGAGGCACACAUUGCAGGCAUGAAUCUGCAGCGAAGAGAGCUGCCCCUGUUUCUCUGCGGUAUGCAGGCUCAGCUUCUCCAGGGUCCAAAGACCAAACCCAAUAAUUCCCUUGGCAUAGAGGCAUUGCCACGAGACGUUCUCCAGCAUUGGUGCCACGAUGGAGAUGGUCACUUGAUUGUAGGCGUGUAAGGACAGCGUCAACUGCUUGAGCAUGGGGGCAACAAUGUCGACCCGCCGUGCCCAUAAAUUCUUGCCGUCCAUGACAAGCUCCUGCAGUGACGUUGAGUGGACUGUCCAGUCGUCAUCGCCCAGACAAACGGGCUUCUUGAGCCUGAGCGCGCGCAGGUGUGGGCAGAGGGAGAGCAAGGCGCCGAGGUCGUCGCCGACCCAAAUGCCCUCGAGACCGAGCACGCGCAGGUGUGGGCAGAACGAGAUAAAGGCGCUGAUGCUCUCAAUUUUGCAGUCCCUGAGGGACAGUGAUAUGGCCAUACGUACUGUUGUACCGCUUGAGAUCACAAAUAUAUAUGUGCCCAGAAUAUUACAGAUAUGUGAAGAUGAACAGGAGCUAGAUAAUGUAACUUGUACAGGUGAUGGGACACUAAAAGAGUUGUGCUUGGUUCAGCUUAAAGAGAGAAACCAACAACUAAAUAUGUCACGUGAGGAAGAGUUUAGUGGAAUAUUACUGCUUGAAGAUGUACAUGCAUGCAAGUCUGCAUGGUGGCCUAAUUACUCCGAUGGAUGUGUUGAGUUUUGCAAGGCAAUACUAACGUGCGUUACAUCACGGAAAGAAAAGGAGUCCUACUAUGAUACAAAGAAUAAGACGAGAUCAGAUUGCUCUGGUUCGGUCAAGAAGAUUAAAAAAAGAGAGCUAUUUAUUUUUCUACCAUGGAAAGAAGACACGUGAAGCUGACAGGAGGAGUCCUAACGUGCGUGAAUAUCUUUCAUUGUGUUCCAUUGGCUGGGGCCCACCCCAUAGAGAUCGGCAAGAUAUUGUGUCAAGUUUAGAGUUCUGUUUAGGAAAAUAUUAUGUCAGCUCUUAUCUUUAGUUGUUUUCGUUUGGAAGUCACGAAUAGAUACGAGUUUAAUCAUUGUUAGAUGGGUCGGCUAUACUAGUAUAAAUAGCCAGGUCACGUUCCAUGUAAAGGAGGUGAUAUUUUUAUGAUAGACACAAUGUGUUUUUAGGGUAAAUACCCGUAUCGAGUUUUGGGGGAAGCUGUCUAAAAAUCCCUAAGUUUUGGAGGAAGCUUUAGAAAACCUCUGUGUUGCGAUUUCUCUUCGUGGAAAUUGUUUUGUGCGUGAGUACCGUCGUCGAGAUUGGUUUUCUCGUGCUGAGCCGUAAGGUUCAAACCCUCUACUUCGUGUACUCCGCGUGCGCGGGCGAGAGGUUGCUACUACAGAAGGUGGAGUGUCGUGAAAGGUCGGGCGACAACAACAGAUCGGAUCUCACCACGGGGUUCGGUCCACAUCAGGUGGUAUUCAGAGCAUCAGGUUGUUCACGACACUAUGGAGAAGAUGACGAGCGCAUCGUCAUUCAGUAAGUUAAGCUAUGGAUUUCAGUUGGAGGAGGAAGGCCGCUGGGCCGGGCUAUUUCAUACCCGUGUGGUGGUGAGAGAGAGAUCAUGUGCCAUGACGAUCGAUCACAUGAAUUUGAUCAACGCCGCAAGCAUCGAGAUGGUGGAGAAGCUAGAGCUACCAAUGACACCACGCCCUACAACCUUACUUGUUCCGUUGGGGUCAUGAUGAGAUCAUCGUCACACACCAAACAAAGGUAUCGUUUUUGCUGGAGAAUUAUUUUUGCGAGAUUUUGUGUGACGUGAUUCCGACACCGAUGGUUUCGUGUCAUUUGUUGCUGGGCAAGCCAUGGUAUAUAGAACACGAUGUUGCAUAUGAUUGCCUAACACAUAGAUACACCGUCAAGAAGGGUAAGAAGUGCAACCUCAUGCCCAUGGGUGCGGAUCGGUUUAUCGCUUGGAGGAGAGAACAUCAGAAGAAAAUAAAAGAAGAUGGAGAUGCAAAAAAUAACAUGGUCGGAGCUGCUGAAAUUUCUACCGUGGUCGUUCAGUCCGCAGAUAUAAGUAUUGGCGACGAGAUUGACACAGACAUUAUUGCUGAAGAGAUUGACUUGAAACCGAGGACGGUUUCGUUUCAAGGAGGAGAGAAUGAUAUGGCCAUACGUACUGUUGUACCGCUUGAGAUCACAAAUAUAUAUGUGCCCAGAAUAUUACAGAUAUGUGAAGAUGAACAGGAGCUAGAUAAUGUAACUUGUACAGGUGAUGGGACACUAAAAGAGUUGUGCUUGGUUCAGCUUAAAGAGAGAAACCAACAACUAAAUAUGUCACGUGAGGAAGAGUUUAGUGGAAUAUUACUGCUUGAAGAUGUACAUGCAUGCAAGUCUGCAUGGUGGCCUAAUUACUCCGAUGGAUGUGUUGAGUUUUGCAAGGCAAUACUAACGUGCGUUACAUCACGGAAAGAAAAGGAGUCCUACUAUGAUACAAAGAAUAAGACGAGAUCAGAUUGCUCUGGUUCGGUCAAGAAGAUUAAAAAAAGAGAGCUAUUUAUUUUUCUACCAUGGAAAGAAGACACGUGAAGCUGACAGGAGGAGUCCUAACGUGCGUGAAUAUCUUUCAUUGUGUUCCAUUGGCUGGGGCCCACCCCAUAGAGAUCGGCAAGAUAUUGUGUCAAGUUUAGAGUUCUGUUUAGGAAAAUAUUAUGUCAGCUCUUAUCUUUAGUUGUUUUCGUUUGGAAGUCACGAAUAGAUACGAGUUUAAUCAUUGUUAGAUGGGUCGGCUAUACUAGUAUAAAUAGCCAGGUCACGUUCCAUGUAAAGGAGGUGAUAUUUUUAUGAUAGACACAAUGUGUUUUUAGGGUAAAUACCCGUAUCGAGUUUUGGGGGAAGCUGUCUAAAAAUCCCUAAGUUUUGGAGGAAGCUUUAGAAAACCUCUGUGUUGCGAUUUCUCUUCGUGGAAAUUGUUUUGUGCGUGAGUACCGUCGUCGAGAUUGGUUUUCUCGUGCUGAGCCGUAAGGUUCAAACCCUCUACUUCGUGUACUCCGCGUGCGCGAGCGAGAGGUUGCUACUACAGAAGGUGGAGUGUCGUGAAAGGCCGGGCGACAACAACAGAUCGGAUCUCACCACGGGGUUCGGUCCACAUCAGGUGGUAUUCAGAGCAUCAGGUUGUUCACGACACUAUGGAGAAGAUGACGAGCGCAUCGUCAUUCAGUAAGUUAAGCUAUGGAUUUCAGUUGGAGGAGGAAGGCCACUGGGCCGGGCUAUUUCAUACCCGUGUGGUGGUGAGAGAGAGAUCAUGUGCCAUGACGAUCGAUCACAUGAAUUUGAUCAACGCCGCAAGCAUCGAGAUGGUGGAGAAGCUAGAGCUACCAAUGACACCACGCCUACAACCUUACUUGUUCCGUUGGGGUCAUGAUGAGAUCAUCGUCACACACCAAACAAAGGUAUCGUUUUUGCUGGAGAAUUAUUUUUGCGAGGUUUUGUGUGACGUGAUUCCGACACCGAUGGUUUCGUGUCAUUUGUUGCUGGGCAAGCCAUGGUAUAUAGAACACGAUGUUGCAUAUGAUUGCCUAACACAUAGAUACACCGUCAAGAAGGGUAAGAAGUGCAACCUCAUGCCCAUGGGUGCGGAUCGGUUUAUCGCUUGGAGGAGAGAACAUCAAAAGAAAAUAAAAGAAGAUGGAGAUGCAAAAAAUAACAUGGUCGGAGCUGCUGAAAUUUCUACCGUGGUCGUUCAGUCCGCAGAUAUAAAUAUUGGCGACGAGAUUGACACAGACAUUAUUGCUGAAGAAAUUGACUUGAAACCGAGGACGGUUUCGUUUCAAGGAGGAGAGAAUGAUAUGGCCAUACGUACUGUUGUACCGCUUGAGAUCACAAAUAUAUAUGUGCCCAGAAUAUUACAGAUAUGUGAAGAUGAACAGGAGCUAGAUAAUGUAACUUGUACAGGUGAUGGGACACUAAAAGAGUUGUGCUUGGUUCAGCUUAAAGAGAGAAACCAACAACUAAAUAUGUCACGUGAGGAAGAGUUUAGUGGAAUAUUACUGCUUGAAGAUGUACAUGCAUGCAAGUCUGCAUGGUGGCCUAAUUACUCCGAUGGAUGUGUUGAGUUUUGCAAGGCAAUACUAACGUGCGUUACAUCACGGAAAGAAAAGGAGUCCUACUAUGAUACAAAGAAUAAGACGAGAUCAGAUUGCUCUGGUUCGGUCAAGAAGAUUAAAAAAAGAGAGCUAUUUAUUUUUCUACCAUGGAAAGAAGACACGUGAAGCUGACAGGAGGAGUCCUAACGUGCGUGAAUAUCUUUCAUUGUGUUCCAUUGGCUGGGGCCCACCCCAUAGAGAUCGGCAAGAUAUUGUGUCAAGUUUAGAGUUCUGUUUAGGAAAAUAUUAUGUCAGCUCUUAUCUUUAGUUGUUUUCGUUUGGAAGUCACGAAUAGAUACGAGUUUAAUCAUUGUUAGAUGGGUCGGCUAUACUAGUAUAAAUAGCCAGGUCACGUUCCAUGUAAAGGAGGUGAUAUUUUUAUGAUAGACACAAUGUGUUUUUAGGGUAAAUACCCGUAUCGAGUUUUGGGGGAAGCUGUCUAAAAAUCCCUAAGUUUUGGAGGAAGCUUUAGAAAACCUCUGUGUUGCGAUUUCUCUUCGUGGAAAUUGUUUUGUGCGUGAGUACCGUCGUCGAGAUUGGUUUUCUCGUGCUGAGCCGUAAGGUUCAAACCCUCUACUUCGUGUAUUCUGCGUGCUCGGGCGAGAGGUUGCUACUACAGAAGGUGGAGUGUCGUGAAAGGUCGGGCGGCAACAACAGAUCGGAUCUCACCACGGGGUUCGGUCCACAUCAGACAGCGUGCGGAGGGUGGGGAACUCGGCCCCGGCAGCCGGUGUGCGGAGGAGGAAGGGGAUCCUCUCCAGCACGAUCGAGGUGGCGCGGUGGAAGCACGGCAGGUCGACCUCUGUGGGAGCCGGAUCUGGGUCCCACGGGAGGGCGAAGACGAGCUUCUCCGGCGCGAGCAGUGCGGCAGCGCGCAGCACCGAUGUGACGUCAUCGGCGUCGAAGAUGGGCAGGUGUUCAUCGGAGACGCGGAUCUCGAGGAGGGAGACCGCGGGAGGGGGGCGGGCUACGCGGCCGAGCGCCACCUGGAGCGACGGGAAGGCGACGCCCUGGAAGGCGAGAUCGCGGAGGCGGGCCCACAGGCCGCGCCAUCGGCGGGAGACGAGGCCGGUGCGCGCGGCGGCGGCGGCGCAGCCGAGGCGGGCGAGGACCAGGAGGAGGAGAUCUUCGGGGAGGGCGCUGAGGUAGUCCGCUCCGCCGGCAGAGCCUGGCUCGGAGGAACGCCGGCGGCGACUCGUACCCAACUCCAUUGAAGUGAGCAAACCCCUGCCUCGGAUGGCUGCCCUAUAUCAGGGCUUGACCAUUUUUCAGGUACUUUGAGGCUAAAAUUUAAAAGCCUCUCCAACAGCUGUUUUUUUGGAAUACACAUAGCAUGCGUAUCAUUUCAUUGAUAGAAGAAGAUAAAAUGAAUACAUGAGAUGGUGGUACAACACAUGACAUGGACGCGGAAGGCGUGAAUAUGAUGCCCAAAGCGAAAAGAUGAAAAAUGCUCGACCCAACAAAGAAGAACACAGCUAAACUCUCCUACUAGAGAAGCUAUCCAACUAACGACCAAACUAAAAUAGCAAUGUAAUUUUAAACUGUCUAAUCUGAAAAUCAAAAUCGGAUAUUCGGGUACACAACAUAUAAAAUAGCACCGAACUUCCAAACCAAAAACCCACAUUAAUAAAAUUAUAUUUCAAAUAAUAACUGGAAUGUGAAAAUGUAAACACAAUAGUCAUACAAACUUGAUUAUAAAAUGAAAUAAUAUAUAAUAUAUCAAUAUUUGGAUUUAAUUCAUCAGCAACGUUAGGUAGUGGAUAUGGCGCCUAUACUUAUGUUUCUAGUUGUACACCAUUCACAUAUUCAUUGCUUGCUCUAUUAAUAGAAAAUUUCUUCUGUCACUAUGACUCGAUUUUUGAAGUUAACAUUCAACUAUAUAUAACAAAUCGCUCAGAUCUAUUGGUUUCAAUCAAGUAAUGGAGCCGGGCAGUGUCUCCCUGUUUUUUUUUUUAAAUCGCUCAUGAAGUUGUGAUAAUUCCUAAUGAUUAAUUCAUCAUGCCCUGACCUGAAAAUUUAAGCCCUAAGUCUAUUAAGCCCCAAAUCAGUUAGUAAUCUUACCUGAUCCUAUAAUGGAGGAAACGAGUAGUUAGGGAUGCGGUCUGUUCCUAGGGAUCAUCUCUUGCUCUGUCCGCCGCCGGCCGCUCGCCGUCGGUCCGUCCCUGGUGUCGGAUCGACUGAUUCCCUCGAAUAGCAGAACAGCCGUCAGGCGGGGAGAGGAGUGAUGGGCCUGGAGUUGUCAAUCGAUCGUGUCGCUUCUCACGUCCAACAGCCGAAGAGGUCAAGUUUGAUAGGGUGAAGUGGACUAUUAGAUCCCUGACUUACCAUUAGAAAGAAAGCUUAGCCGCCGACGUCAAUGUGUUAAGCACAUAGGAUAUAUUCGGCAAAAGUUAGUAAGAAGUAGAGUGAAUUCUGAAACUCCAGCAUUUAGGCCCGGAUAGAAUGAGUCCUCAAGCUUAGAAUCAUUUGGCCUAACCUUUUAAAAAAGUCAGCAGUACAGAAUGCAACCGAUCGCGUUACUACUUCUCACGUAAGCAGUUCACUAAUGAAGAAAGCCUCGCGGGCCGGGUAAACCAACAUGCAGAGGAGAUUUGCUCCGUUGUGCCACGCACUAGUACGCUGUUCUGUAGCUAGCGAGCCCGGGCAAGUGCCCAGGGUCGCUGGGCACCGGCUCCGCCACUGUAUGUUAUGCACUUGACUGAGACUUGGUUAAAUUUUAGUCGACUGAGACCUAGCCACAUCUAAAAUUUUUACAUAAUGUUUUUGGCUGCUCACAAAAGAGGCUCCAAGACUCCAUGUGUUGCAAAUAUACAUCACUUGAGCAGCUAUAGUAAACCAAAUCCCCCCGCGCGUGACCCAGGGGUUCAGUUUCUUCCCCUCGCCCGCCGGCCACUGCGUCGCCAUGUCUAGCCCCUCCGACGCCGUGCCCGACCCCAUGGUGAUCGUCGUUGCUUCCGUCCUCCUUGCCAUGGCUCCCCAGCCUCUGCCGCAGCUCCUUCCGCCAUCGCCGUUACCAUGGUCGCCGCACCUGUCUGCCAUGGCGAAUCCACGGCUCCGUGGUCGACCGCCAUCGCCAGAAUGGAGGUGCCUCCGCCACCGCCGAAGAAGGCCGCCGCCAGCAAGCCUCGGGGAGGCGGCUCGAAGAGGCUAGCGCGCGACCGAAGAAGACAAAGGCGGCGGCAAAAGGACACAACUUCGACAGCUCCUGCUAUUUGUCGUGGCCCCUGCUACUGCUACGCCUCCUCCGUCCCCUCCCACGUCAGAUAUGGUGGACGUACCGUCAACACCCGCGCGCAUGCGUACUUGACGUAUGUCCCAAAGGUGAAAAAAUGUUCGUUUUCCUCCUUAUUUCUUGUGAAAUUGAAUGCAAUCAAGAAGUGAUGUGUUUGUAUGUUCAAUUAUGUGCAUGUAGUGUUGAUGAUGAAAGUCUCUUGCAAUAUACAAAUGUUGCAGAGGAUUUUGUCUCCCAAGAUAUCCCAUCACAAGAGAUUGAAUCAUAAUAUGAUGAGGAUGAACUUGACGGGGAUGAUGAGGGGUUCUUUGAUGCUACACCUAGGGGAAGACUAGGAAACUAGACAAACGAAUACAUCUUGCUAUGUUGGGCCUGGAAGGCACUAUCUCUUGAUGCAGCCACUGACACCAAUCAACCAAUGAGCAAAUAUUGGGCACGUAUGAAGGAGUUCUUCGAUGCAUGCAACACAAAUCGAUAUGACCAAUCGGCUGCAUCUCUUCGCCACCGAUGGUCCACGAUAUCCGUGGAUUUUCAAAACUGGUCCGGUUGCUUGAAAAAUCUCGAGCGCAUGAAUCCAAGUGGCACCAACAAUGAUGAUAGGGUAAUCAUGCUUGCUCUUAAUUGUCGUGCGUUGAUCAUGCUUGAUCUCAAUUGUAGUAUAUACAUCAUUCUUCUUAUUCUCACUUAUGCUUCCUCUUAAUUGUAGCUCAACAUGGCUCAAGCGUUGUUUCACGGUAGAGGAAAGAAUGGGGACAAGAAGAAGAAAGAGAAGGCCCUUUACUUUCGAAAGUGCUAAUGUGAUCACGAGCUGCAGUGCUCUCUUUAUCUGUAUUACAUCCACUACAUGAGUAUAUUGGAUGUAAUAAGGAUAAAUGGAUAUAUGUACAGACGAACCUUAUAAUUGGCAUGUAAACGGCACAUUGCAACAACUAUAGAGAUUUCGCACAACAUUAAAAUCAAUGACAACUUCACUUUGUAUUCUUGUUGCAUCUAAGAGCAUGCUAAUCACGAAUGCAGAACAUAUACUAAGGAAAGAAACCUACAUAAAAUGUUCUGAAUAUUUUAACCCCAUCAGUCAUUCACCUUCAGUUUUAUAAAAAUAUAAGGGAAUGUGCAUAAAAAUUCAGUAGUUUUGUAUCAUAUGUUUUUUCUCUAACACGCAUUGAAAGCAUGCCACUGUGUAUUAGUAAUAACUAGUACUCCCUUUAUCUCAUAAUAUAACACGUUAUUUUGGAUGUAACAACAUCUUAUAUUAUGGGACAAACCUUAUAAUUGGCAUGUAAACGGCACAUUGCAACAACUAUAGAGAUUUUGUAUAACAUUAAAAUCAAUGACAACUUGACUUUGUAUUCUUGUUGCAUCUAAGAGCAUACAAAUCAAGAAUGCAGAACAUAUACUUACCAGAGCUAAGAUAAAGAUUGCAUUUCACAGAAGAGUACUCCUUGAAGAUGUCGUAUAUUUUCGUGCAUCUAUCAUCACUUGACGAGACCUCACCUGACAGCUUCACAAUCA
rnacentral:lncRNA from 1 species